AAUGAACGUUGGCGGCGUGGAUUAGGCAUGCAAGUCGAGCGAGAACCCGCAAGGGGGACAGCGGCAAACGGGGUAGUAAUGUGUCGGAACGUGCCCUCUGGACGGGGAUAGCGGCGGGAAACUGCCGGUAAUACCCGAUGAACUCGAGAGAGCAAAGGUGUGAUUCCGCCGGAGGAGCGGCCGACAUGGUAUUAGCUAGUUGGCGGGGUAACGGCCCACCAAGGCUUUGAUGCCUAGGGGAUGUGAGAGCAUGAUCCCCACCAUUGGGACUGAGACACUGCCCAGACACCUACGGGUGGCUGCAGUCGAGAAUCUUCGUCAAUGGGCGAAAGCCUGAACGAGCGACGCCGCGUGCGGGAUGAAGGCCCUUGGGUUGUAAACCGCUGUCGAGGGGGAUGAAGGCUUGAAGGUACUCCUUCAAGUUUGACAGAGCCCUGGAGGAAGCACGGGCUAAGUUCGUGCCAGCAGCCGCGGUAACAC
rnacentral:rRNA from 1 species